rnacentral:lncRNA from 1 species
CUCAAUUAAGAGUGUUUGAAACUGAGCAAGAAUAGACCUGUGAGCACGAAGAAAAUGAUAGCCCUUGGGGUGGUCACUCUUGCUGGUGAUAUUUGUAUAAUUCACGUCAUACCUACAUUGUUAGUACACUAAGUACUUCCUCAAAAGCAAUCCAAAAACUACAUAUGAAAGAGACAUCCUUAAAAUAUACAAGGAACCACAGGGGCACUUCAAGGCCAGUGUUGUUAUGCCUGUAAAGCAUAAGGAAGAGAACUAUAGAAGACAUAUCUAGGAAAUGCAGCAUUAUUGAAUGAGGUAAAACCAACAUAGCUAAGAAGCUCACUCAGACUGCAAACUGAGAAAAUCUGAAAAGCCAUAAAUGAUACAUAAUCAAGCCUCCAUAAUAUGUAGCGUUCAGCAGGAAAGCUAUGUCUAGAAAUGAAAGACUUUGCUCUGAGGAUUGGAAGCACAUAGAAAACAGUUUCUCAAUUAAGAGUGUUUGAAACUGAGCAAGAAUAGACCUGUGAGCACGAAGAAAAUGAUAGCCCUUGGGGUGGUCACUCUUGCUGGCGAUAUUUGUAUAAUUCACAUCAUACCUACAUUGUUAGUACACUAAGUACUUCCUCAAAAGCAAUCCAAAAACUACAUAUGAAAGAGACAUCCUUAAAAUAUACAAGGAACCACAAGUGCACUUCAAGGCCAGUGUUGUUAUG